rnacentral:rRNA from 1 species
GAAUAUUGCACAAUGGGCGCAAGCCUGAUGCAGCGACGCCGCGUGGGGGAUGACGGCCUUCGGGUUGUAAACUCCUUUCGACAGGGACGAAGCUUAUGUGACGGUACCUGUAGAAGAAGCACCGGCUCACUACGUGCCAGCAGCCGCGGUAAUACGUAGGGUGCAAGCGUUAAUCGGAAUUACUGGGCGUAAAGCGUGGGCAGGCGGUUUUGUAAGACAGAGGUGAAAUCCCCGGGCUCAACCUGGGAACUGCCUUUGUGACUGCAAGGCUAGAGUACGGCAGAGGGGGGUGGAAUUCCUGGUGUAGCGGUGAAAUGCGCAGAUAUCAGGAGGAACACCAAUGGCGAAGGCAGGUCUCUGGGCAGUAACUGACGCUGAGGAGCGAAAGCAUGGGUAGCGAAC